CAGUAGCCACGGGAAUACGUAGGUGGCAAGCGUUGUCCGGAAUUAUUGGGCGUAAAGCGAGCGCAGGCGGUUAGAUAAGUCUGAAGUUAAAGGCUGUGGCUUAACCAUAGUACGCUUUGGAAACUGUUUAACUUGAGUGCAAGAGGGGAGAGUGGAAUUCCAUGUGUAGCGGUGAAAUGCGUAGAUAUAUGGAGGAACACCGGUGGCGAAAGCGGCUCUCUGGCUUGUAACUGACGCUGAGGCUCGAAAGCGUGGGGCGCAAACAGGAUUAGAGACCCCUGUAGUCCCUGUCUCUUAUACA
rnacentral:rRNA from 1 species